rnacentral:rRNA from 1 species
AGGAUUUGAUCCUGGCUCAGGACGAACGCUGGCGGCGUGCCUAACACAUGCAAGUCGAACGGGACCGGGGGCAACUCCGGUUCAGUGGCAGAUGGGUGCGUAACACGUGAGGAACUUGUCCGACGGUGGGGGAUAGCCGGCCCAACGGCCGGGUAAUACCGCAUACGCUCGUUCGGGGGCAUCCCUGGGCGAGGAAAGCAGCCGCAAGGUUGCGCCGGUGGAGAGCCUCGCGACCUAUCAGCUAGUUGGCGGGGUAAUGGCCCACCAAGGCGACGACGGGUAGCUGGUCUGAGAGGAUGGCCAGCCACAUUGGGACUGAGACACGGCCCAGACUCCUACGGGAGGCAGCAGUGGGGAAUAUUGCGCAAUGGCCGCAAGGCUGACGCAGCGACGCCGCGUGUGGGAUGACGGCCCUCGGGUUGUAAACCACUGUCGGGAGGGACGAAUACGGGGCCUCGAAUAGGGGACCCUGGGCGACGGUACCUCCAAAGGAAGCACCGGCUAACUCCGUGCCAGCAGCCGCGGUAAUACGGAGGGUGCGAGCGUUGUCCGGAAUCACUGGGCGUAAAGGGCGCGUAGGCGGUUCGCUAAGUUGCUGGUGAAAUCCCGGGGCUCAACUCCGGGGCUGCCGGCAAGACUGGCGGGCUAGAGCACGGUAGAGGCAGAUGGAAUUCCCGGUGUAGCGGUGGAAUGCGUAGAUAUCGGGAAGAAUACCGGUGGCGAAGGCGUUCUGCUGGGCCGUGCUGACGCUGAGGCGCGACAGCGUGGNNNGCAAACAGGAUUAGAUACCCCCGUAGUCC